CGCACGCUGCCCUUCCAUGAGUCUCUUUCUACCCUCUUGGCUUAAUUAGCCUGUAUCUGCCUCUGCCGCCUGACUGAGGGGCGGGGCGCGGGUGGAGGAGCAAACAUGGGGAGAAAGAGGAGCGACUCCCUAAGGAUGGCCUUGGCUUUCCAGAUCUGUUUUUCAGUUCCAUAAGAGACCUUUUACCCUUUGCGCUAAAUAGAUCCACAGUGAUAAUGAUGGGGAUGGCAAAAUACUGCAAGGAUUUGGCUCCACUUGUUUUAGACAUGGAUAAAAAAACAGCCUGCAAGCUCGCUCACCUUGAGAAACCAGGAUAUCCAAAACCCGGGAGUUCUUUGCUAUUCGUGUUCUGUAGUAGGACAUAACCAUUUUUUUCUCUGGUGUAAAAAUACCAUUGUCUAUCAACCAAUUAAGAAGAUGGUCUGGGUUGUUUAUGCCUUCUACCAGUUCUUCCUUUUUUGUCUUUAGGACUUCUAUGGCAUAUGGAUUUGUAAACAAGCUGUUUAAAUACAUGAUGAUAUGAGUAACUUCUCAAAAAUGGAUUAAAUUAUCAUUUGAAAUUGAGCUUGACAGUGGAACAGCAGAGCAGGAUCACAUAAUUUCACAAAGUCUUUCAUAAAGAACUGCUGUACCAACAACUGUAGUUCAAUUAGAAAUCAUUGAAGAAUACUGGGAAAGAAAUCCAAAACUCCUCACCUUUAGUUUACCAUCGUUGUUAGAAGUUCUCUGAUCCUCUUUGCUGUUCCUUAGCAACAAGUAGAGUUGAGUAACAUAACAAAACAAAACAAUAAAUGUAUUCUGCCCAAUAUGGCUAUUUUACAAAAGAUGGCUAAUAAAAUUAAAGAGGAAAAACUGCUUUUCUGAAGUUGGUAGUUAAGCUGCAGAACUUCGUUUACCAGGUUCCUCUUGAGGUAUAAACUUUUUUGUUUGCUUCUUGUAGGCGGCAAUGUGACCAAUUUGUCAAAUGUGACCAAACAAAAUCAACAGCGUAGUUACUGUUGCUAUAAUUACGUUAGCCUUUGUGUAACGUUAGAUAAAAUUGUACACACUGAUAGCUAUGUAUGGCAAAACCCCAGAACAUACAAGAAUUCAAAUAAUAACAAAACACUAACCAAAAAGUGAGCGAUUAAAAAAAAUAGAGCCGUUCCAAAUUUGUUUAAUAAUUUCAAGAUCAUAAAACAUUUAACAUAUUUUAAAUUUAUCACAUAAUGAUGCACAUUUAAUAUAACCUAAUGUUUAACUCAUGACUAAACUUCAAGUCUUCCCAAAUUAUUUCUUAGAACUUUAUUCAUCAGUAAAUUUAGGUCCAUAUGUAGUGCUGACUUCAUCAGUUCCUUAGACUUCUGCACCUUGGCGUCCUGAAAGGACACUAAAUUGGUGUGUCAGAUUUUUCAGGGAGGGAGAUUACCUUCUGCCUCCCAUCCUGAUAUAGACCUUUUAGCUCUACCUUCUUUGAAGUCUAAAUUUAUGACCCUGCAGUACUCAACAGAUAAUUUUCUAGCAAUGUGUUCGACAAACAGUGGUGGAUCAAGGUGUGAUUCAUUGUGUUAUGUCUAGAAUAAAAGUAAAUAAGGCCCCAAACCUGAAAACACUUAAGGUGCUUAAUUUAAGGAGUAGUCUCAUUGAUUUUAGCUCUUAUUUAAUACUUUUUAUCCAUAGAUUUCAAAGUACUUUACAGAGGAAGGUGGGUAUCAUGAUCCCAAUUUUAAAGAUUGGGAAACAGGCUGAGAGAUGACAUGACAUGCCCAAAGUCACACACCAUGUCAAAAGCAGAGUUGGAAACAGAAUCUGAGAAUGAAAUCCUGACUCUGUUAAAGCCAAUAGGAGUUUUGUUAUUGACUUCAGUGACAGCAGGAUUUCACUCCAUGUCUCCUGUCUUUCAGUCCAGUGCCCUAUCCACUGGAUUAUGCUGCCUGUAAAAGAAAUGUUUUCUGAGUAUGUAUUCAGAAAGUGACCAUGACAUGUUACUAAUUUUUAACUCUGACUUUUAAUUUUCAUAAUUAAGUUUGUAAAGGUUAUUUUAGUAGGAAAAUGGUUUAUGGAAGAAAUAUUAAUUAAAAGGUAAAAGUUUCAGCAGGUAUAGCAGCCAGUUUCAGAACUCAAUAAUUCCCCUGAAUUACAAAAAAUGCAGAUACACCACAGAUAGUAAAACCUGUACCAUUUACAAUAUUUAAGCAUUGUAUUAUCACAUAAUAGGAAUAGCUAUGGUUUAGUGAAUUAAUCACAGGCCUAGGAUUCCGGCGACCUAAAUUCUGUUCCUAAAUCAACCAAUGACUCCCUUUGUAAUCUGCAAAUAACUUAACCUCUGGCCCCAAUUUAGCAAGGUGCCACUUUUUAAGCAUGUGAAUAGUCCCACUGAUUUCCACCUUGCUGAACUGGGACCUCUGUGCCUUAGUUAUCUCAUCUGUAAAAUAGGCUAAUAAUACUUACACACAUUUGUAAGACACUGUGAGAGUCAGAGAUGGGGAAAAUGUGGUGCAAAUGCCAAGUAUUAUCGUUAUAAAAUACUCUACAAAAUUACUUGGAAGGAACCUGUGAAAAAAAAUCCGAAGAGAGAAAUUACAAAAAUCUUUAGCAGUUUGAUCAAUGUCGUGAUACUCUUCAAAUCUGCUCUAAGCACAGUAAUUAAACCUCCAACUGUGAAUAUUAAGUGAAUCUAUAGUGAACUACACCUAGCUGGCCUCUGGGUGGAACAUUUGAACAAUUUAUGCCCUGCUUCGGUUGGGAGAAAGGCUAUUAAAUGUAAUUUGGAAAAAAAUAAUAUGCAACAAUUUACUGGAUGCAAAUCAUAAUCUGUUACAUAUUACCGAAUACCUUUCAAUUACUUCUGUAUCAUGCAUGUGAAUCUAUCGCCAUACUAGCUACCAUCAUAUUAGCAUUCACCAUCAGGACAAGAACCACAGGUUUGCUAAGAAAAUAACUGGAAAUGCCCAUAUUAUUUUAUGGAUUACAUUUUAGGGUUGCAUUUUUUUUAAAAGUUGUCUUCACAGUUGUCUCUGGCUGAGACUGGAUAUAUUGUUUUCUACUCAUCAGAUAUCAGGAAGGUUAAUCCCUUUAAAAGUUCACUUGUACCCUUUUUUGUUGUUGUUUUCUUAGUGAUGUAUGAAAAGGACUUGAAAUAUUUCCCCUCAUUAUUUUUUUUCCUGCUUGCUUUUUCUACUGGAAAUUAAGUCUUUGUUUGUCCUGAAAGCCUCAGUGAAAUGACGACAUCACAAAAGACCAUAAAAACUGAGAUAUUGAGAAACGGAGAGGGACAGGGAUUCCUAGACUAUUUAAAUGGAUAUUAAUAAAAAAGAAUUUUAACUUUUAUGUAGCUAUUUCUAUUUACUUAUUGAUAUUUGGAGAAUGGAGAUCUGUGUUAAAAAUUCAGUAUCCUUGUCCUUUCAAUUAAACAUGAGACCACGUGCUUAAAGACAUCUGUGAGGCUCUUCAGGAAAACCAGGCUUGAUAUUCCUGAUAUAGCUAAGAAAGAAACUGGUAGGAGAGGGAGAGAACUUUUCUGACCUUCCUUAUAUAAAUAAAUAUAAAAUAAAAGACAUAAGCCCAAUUUUUUAAAAAGUCCUUUCAAGGUAAGCUUUAACUAUACAGGCUUCUGUAGUUCCAUGCCUGUGAGGAUAAUUCCUCAUUCACAUAACUUUUUUAAAGUAAAUGACUGAUUUUGUCCCUUACCACUUCUCAUUGCUUUAUAUUAUGUCAGGACCUUUGUGUGUGGCAUCAGGGGCUUUAACAGCAUAGCUUAUUUACAUUAGGAAAAUGUAGCAGAAAUUUCCUACGGUUGCUAAUACCAAUUCAGUUUCAUUAGCGAUAGGAGUCCUAUGAGCCCUAGUGAAGAUGGGCUGCUGGCAGUAUGUUAAGCAACAUUUCAAUUAAAUAUAGGCUGAGAGUUAGAUAACAUAAUGCUUAAAAUGUGAGCAGCCCACAUGUGCUACAAGUAGCUCUCAGUGGAUCGAACACCACUGGCAUUAGCUGCAGUGUGAAAUUUUUGCAAAAUGUUCCUAGUGGAGACAUGGCUAUGAAGUAUCUGUAACAUCUGAAUGUAGGAUGUGGGCACUCUGUUGUUGUCUCUGUGGGCAGUCGGUGGGGGUCAACCUUGUAGAACUUAAUGAGCAGGCCCUAAAAAGGGGAGGAGACUCCAUGAACGGCAAAGGUCUUUAGUUGUAGCCUGAGCUAAAUUAAUUUCCCUGUUUAGAGCUUCUGAUCACCACGUUAAACCAUCUUGUCUGUUUAACCAAGUAUAGCUGGUCCUGGAGCAACUGAAUUCUAGUCUCAGCUCUGCUAUUAACUUGUAACAAUUUGGGUAAAUUACUUAAUCUCUGUGCCUUAUUUACCUCUUCUGUUAUAAGAGAAAAAUAUUUAUCUACCUUACAAGCAUGGUUAUAAGUAGUUAUUUAAUAUUUAUACAGUGCUUAGAAGUUGUGCUUUGAAGUAUUACUGUUUUCUGACUUUUCACAGAUGUUUUAUUUCUUCAGAGAACACUAGGGCCCAUUGUCUAGGCAGAAUAUACCAUGUCAUCAUAAAACAUUUAAUGUUAUUCUUAAUGUUUUUAAUGAAAGCAAAUAAAUCUACACCUUGCAAUGUGUUAAAUCAACAUUGUGGCAAAUGCUGUUUCACUUGGAAGUGACCAGCAGAGGACACUGUCUCUCUAUUGAUCAUGUUUAGUGGGCAGAACCUGGCAGGGUGCUCUACAAUUAAUCAUCCAAGGCCCAGAACCUCCAGCUGUGGUUUCUGUCUUCUGUUAAAACCA